rnacentral:rRNA from 1 species
GAAGCGCUGUUUUCAGAAUCUUCGGAGGAAGAGGACAGUGACUGAGCGGCGGACGGGUGAGUAACGCGUGGGCAACCUGCCUCAUACAGGGGGAUAACAGUUAGAAAUGACUGCUAAUACCGCAUAAGCGCACAGGACCGCAUGGUGUAGUGUGAAAAACUCCGGUGGUAUGAGAUGGACCCGCGUCUGAUUAGGUAGUUGGUGGGGUAAAGGCCUACCAAGCCGACGAUCAGUAGCCGACCUGAGAGGGUGACCGGCCACAUUGGGACUGAGACACGGCCCAAACUCCUACGGGAGGCAGCAGUGGGGAAUAUUGCACAAUGGGGGAAACCCUGAUGCAGCGACGCCGCGUGAAGGAAGAAGUAUUUCGGUAUGUAAACUUCUAUCAGCAGGGAAGAAAAUGACGGUACCUGAGUAAGAAGCACCGGCUAAAUACGUGCCAGCAGCCGCGGUAAUACGUAUGGUGCAAGCGUUAUCCGGAUUUACUGGGUGUAAAGGGAGCGUAGACGGAUAGGCAAGUCUGGAGUGAAAACCCAGGGCUCAACCCUGGGACUGCUUUGGAAACUGCAGAUCUGGAGUGCCGGAGAGGUAAGCGGAAUUCCUAGUGUAGCGGUGAAAUGCGUAGAUAUUAGGAGGAACACCAGUGGCGAAGGCGGCUUACUGGACGGUGACUGACGUUGAGGCUCGA